GGAGCCAUAGCUCAGUGGUAGAGCAUCUGCUUUGUAUGAAAAGUUCACAGGUUCAAUCCCUGGCGUCUCCA